rnacentral:rRNA from 1 species
UACGUAGGGGGCGAGCGUUGUCCGGAUUUAUUGGGCGUAAAACGCUUGUAGGUGGCUACGUCAAGUCGGACGUGAAAUCUCCCGGCUUAACUGGGAGGGGUCGCUCGAUACUGGCGAGCUCGAGGCAGGUAGGGGGAAACGGAAUUCCCGGUGUAGUGGUGGAAUGCGUAGAUAUCGGGAGGAACACCAGUGGCGAAGGCGGCUUCCUGGACCUGUUCUGACACUGAGGAGCGAAAGCGUGGGGAGCGAUCCGG